GUGGUAGUGUAAUUUGGAUGAAGUAUAAAUAUUAAUGCUGUGAUCAAAGUUUUUCCUGACCAUUGACUUAGAGAGGAGAUGAAGCAACAUCAGAAGAGCAGUUCGAAAUAAUAGUCGAAGAUUUUCCUGCAAAACUGAAGGAUAUUCACUGUUUGAUCAUACACUUUGAGGUGCUAAGCGAAGUCCUACAAGGGAGGGGCGACAGAGAUAGUUCUUGCUACAACUGUACUAGAACAUGCAGCAAACAUUCGACGGCUCAACAUCCUAACUGAUCCCAAUAACUCUGAAUCAAGUGAUAAUGCGAGACGGGUUCUUGAGCGUGUCGACAGUCCUUUCCCUCCGGUGGACAUGCGUUUUGGCUAAGGAUCAUCCCCCAAGGCCGAGUCCUACUGCUCAGAAGUAAUGCUGGACUACCAGGAAGAUGGUGGAGAGCGGCAGAUGAACAUGUUUGAAGCUGGAAGGUGCCCUGCAAUGAUCCAAAAAAACUGCUGCCUAUGGUGCUUUGGCGUUGCACUUGCGAAUAAGAUGGUCUGGACGUCACUGCCUCUUCAGUCUGACUUCUGCUGGUAAGCUGCUAGGAGAUUAGGCAGACAGGGUCUCUGCAAUUUCUUUGUACUGAUUUUGUAAGUGGCGACGUCCACUUUUAAACAAACCGUACUCUCUCUGAGUCGUGCAUAACCUACUUGUGCUAGCCGAUUCAGCAUUAGCAUGUAUUUGCAUUUACUUUGUGCUA